UUGAGAUCCAAAUUUGUUCUCAAUUUAUAUCUUCAUUUUGGCUUCAAUCUGUCGAUCGACCAGCACACUGUAUAGUCCCACAUAUUACUGUAUCUUUUUCGACCCUCCCCAAAGGAGCAAAAUCAAAGAAAAAUUCUUAAGCCACCGUAUAGUCCCACAUAUUGCUGGCCAGCACAGAUGGUAGAAUUAUUGCAUCUUACAUAAUCUAUCAAAUCUAAAUCAGUGUUACAAUUAUAGUAUUCCCUUCACGUGAUCGUUUCGAUACCCUAAUAAUCUGGCACUAGAAGCUAUCCCGAAAC
rnacentral:lncRNA from 1 species